GCUGAUUAUCUUUCAUCUCUUUCUUUCUUCGUUUUUCAAUGCGAGUCCGGUACCGCACCUGUCAAGUGUCAAUCGUGAUUCGUAGUAUUUUUUCUGUAUUGUUUGCUUUGAAUUUGUUUCUUGAAAGCUUUAAAUUUCCAAUUCUCCUGCAUUAUUAAAAAUAGUUUAAACAAUUUAACCAAUCUGUUAAUUGAAACAAUAUACAUUCCUAUGAAAUAUGGAUGGACCAAAACCACGAAGAGAUUAUAUCUAGCCUUCGGUAAAAAUAACUUUAAUAAUCCAAACUUAAUAUAUAAACUCUACGAUCAUAGAUCCCAUCGAAGAACCUUAACGAUGAAUUUGAUGAUACAAUUUUGAAAGCGGCGAAUAUGGAACCACUUCCAUCUCCACUCGUGGUGGCCUCUCUUAACUUGCGCAGUAUUUGCCAACAGUUUACCCAGAUAGUUAUGGUCGAAAGAGUCCAACAUUGUUGGGAGAUAAGGAGAAAAGUCCCCCAACAACUGAUUGGGAAGAUCCUAUAACUGAAACAUCUACAUUCAUUGGCUGCGUUUGGCUUGUUCUUGCGACUACCUUCCCAUUCAGAUGUUUUGCUUCGUCAUAAACUGAGAGCGCAAUGUUUAUUGAGAUUUGUCUUGGGUGUCACUGGAGAUGGUGAAGGCAAUGACAUUUAUAGCUUAUCACUCCCAACAUCACUUCCAACAUUACCGUUUGAAGUAUUUCGACAACUUUUAGAUAGUUCAGCACUCAAUAGAUGAUGGUAUGCUAUUAAGAAGAAUGAUUGUAGAAGUUGGCGCCAUGCUUUUUGUACAUGAUAUUUUCACAUGUUAAUCUCAAAAUUAUCAAAUAAAUGGACCACAGCCAGAGACUGCUGCUGGUGUAAAAACUUCGAUGAAUAGCAUAGAUGAUUCCGGCGUUAUCAUAUCUGACGAUAAUAGUCAUAUGCUAAAAGCACUGGAUUUGGAACAGGAUCUACUCAACAAUCUUGGAAUGUCGAAAAAGCUUUGUUACGUCAAAAAAGUAAAGAAGAACAUGUAACACUGCUUUUACAGGUUCUUGUAUCAAUUCAGUCUCUAAUUCUGGUUCCUGAACCAUACUUCAAUGAGCCAGACUUUGAAAGAAAUCGAGGUACUCCAAGUGGGACACAUUCAUCUCGAGAGUAUAAUAGCAACAUUUACAAGGCGUGUGUUCGUUGGGCUAUGCUUGAACAAAUUCGAAAUCCAAGUCCAUGUUUCAAAGUGGUCAUUCAUACACACUUUUGGUUAAAACUAUUUGUCAAGUUUUGCAUCAAUGUUUGAGUAGGCCUGGUACGCAGAUCGAGCUAAAUUUUAGCCGAGAUAAAAUUUCCAUACAAGUUAUCGAAAAUUUUUAUGGGAUUCAUUUUAGCUCGGCUAAAAUUAUUCGAUAAUUUGCCUUAAAAUGUUCCAUAUCGAGAUAAUGAAAAAGUGUUGCCUGCUUUUUAUUUCCCGGAUUGCAUAUGGCGAUUUAAUUGCGCCAUCUCGAAUAAUGCCAGGUCGUACACAAACUUGUGCCAACAUGAAAACAAACAAUUAAAACAAGCCUUCAGAUAACGAUAAAUCUCAACGCAAAGUUUACCUGAAGCGUGUGAAAGUUCUAGAAGACACCAAUGAGAUGCAACAAAAAUUCAAUGACUUUAUGCAGGGUUUUCAUAUAAUUGAGCUUGAGUUAGCUGAGUCUAUAAAUUUAUUUACCGCAAAAAAAACCUGGAAGAAUAAAUCGAAUUUGUCUUUAUAUUUUGUUUAUUUGUCGAUAAAAUAAAAUUCAAAUAGCAAACUCAUACAAAUAUUUGUUUUUGUUAAAACUUCAUGUAAUGAAUAGCACAAGCACUUCAUAUUUUAUAUGAUCUAAGCUUCCAAUAUCUUAGAGAACAAUAUUUAUUUUGAAAUAAACAUUUUUUGACUAUAAAAUAUGGCUUUUUGAGACUGCAAGCUGCAUAACAUUUUUUGUUUUUUUUUUCACGCCCAAUAAUGGAAUCCCAGCAAAUAAACUGCGUCUUUCAAAUCUCGAUUCAGAUAGAACAAGCAGUAAUGCUCUAAUUACAGUCAAAUUACGUAGCAAGAAUCGAGGAUGCCAUAUAAAUUUGAAUAAACGAUUGUCUAUUAAAACGAAACAAAAUGUAUGUUAAUGGUUUGUAUUAAAAUUGAGAUCAAAAAUAAACUCACCUACCACACAACAAUAAAGAAAAGUACUCCCACGGCAACUUCAACCUUUAAUUUAAUAAGAACGAGAACCAUUCCGCACCAUCCAAGUUGUAUAAAUAAAUUUAUUUAAAACAAAAACUGUUGCUUGAAAUUAGUUAUAAUACAAAGCCUUGCACUGUUCUUUUUGGAGCAAAUGCCCGCCCCACACACGGAUAUCCA